UGGGGAAUAUUGCACAAUGGGCGGAAGCCUGAUGCAGCGACGCCGCGUGAGGGAUGACGGCCUUCGGGUUGUAAACCUCUUUCAGCAGGGAAGAAGCGCAAGUGACGGUACCUGCAGAAGAAGCACCGGCUAACUACGUGCCAGCAGCCGCGGUAAUACGUAGGGUGCGAGCGUUGUCCGGAAUUAUUGGGCGUAAAGAGCUUGUAGGCGGUUUGUCGCGUCUGCUGUGAAAAUCCGGGGCUCAACUCCGGACUUGCAGUGGGUACGGGCAGACUAGAGUGUGGUAGGGGAGACUGGAAUUCCUGGUGUAGCGGUGGAAUGCGCAGAUAUCAGGAGGAACACCGAUGGCGAAGGCAGGUCUCUGGGCCACUACUGACGCUGAGAAGCGAAAGCAUGGGGAGCGAACAGGAUUAGAUACCCUGGUAGUCCAUGCCGUAAACGUUGGGCGCUAGGUGUGGGGCUCGAUUCCACGAGUUCCGUGCCG
rnacentral:rRNA from 1 species